GAUGAACGCUGGCGGCGUGCCUAAUACAUGCAAGUCGAGCGAACAGACGCUGAGCUUGCUCCUCUGACGUUAGCGGCGGACGGGUGAGUAACACGUGGAUACCCUCCCUAUCAGACUGGGAUAACUUCGGGAAACCGGAGCUAAUACCGGAUAAUAUCUUGAACCGCAUGGUUCAAUAGUGAAAGACGGUUUUGCUGUCUCUUCUCGAUGCUUCCGCGCCGCAUUGGCUAGUUGGUAAGGUCACGGCUUACCAAGGCAACGAUGCGUAGCCGACCGGAGAGGGGGAUCGGCCACACGGGAACUGAGACACGGUCCAGACUCCUACGGGAGGCAGCAGUAGGGAAUCUUCCGCAAUGGGCGAAAGCCUGACGGAGCAACGCCGCGUGAGUGAUGAAGGUCUUCGGAUCGGAAAACUCUGUUAUUAGGGAAGAACAAAUGUGUAAGUAACUAUGCACGUCUUGACGGUACCUAAUCAGAAAGCCACGGCUAACUACGUG
rnacentral:rRNA from 1 species